rnacentral:rRNA from 1 species
GGGAUAAUCGGGAGAAAUCCCGUCUAAUACCGCGUAAUGCCGCGGGGCUGCAUGGCCCUGCGGCCAAAGGGAGCGAUUCCGGCAACGGAUGGGCAUGCGUGACAUUAGCUAGUUGGCGGGGCAACGGCCCACCAAGGCGACGAUGUCUAGGGGUUCUGAGAGGAAGGUCCCCCACACUGGUACUGAGACACGGACCGGACUCCUACGGGAGGCAGCAGUAAGGAAUAUUGGUCAAUGGGCGCGAGCCUGAACCAGCCAAGUCGCGUGAGGGAUGACGGCCCUACGGGUUGUGAACCUCUUUUGUCGGGGAGCAAAUUCCGCCACGUGUGGCGGAGUCGAGAGUACCCGAAGAAAAAGCAUCGGCUAACUCCGUGCCAGCAGCCGCGGUAAUACGGAGGAUGCGAGCGUUAUCCGGAUUUAUUGGGUUUAAAGGGUGCGUAGGCGGACUGUCAAGUCAGCGGUAAAAUACGGGGGCUCAACCUCCGCCCGCCGUUGAAACUGACGGUCUUGAGUGGGCGAGAAGUAUGCGGAAUGCGUGGUGUAGCGGUGAAAUGCAUAGAUACCACGCAGAACUCCGAUUGCGAAGGCAGCCUACCGGCGCCCGACUGACGCUGAAGCACGAAAGCGUGGGUAUCGAACAGGAUUAGAUACCCUGGUAGUCCACGCAGUAAACGAUGAAUACUAGCUGUCCGGG